CCAACCCCAGGGAAACCCCUGAGCUCCCCAUGUCCUGAAAAGCAAGAGGCCACCCCUGUUCUAGCAGUGAAACCAUCAAAGCCCCUGCCUACGCCUCUCUUGCUUUUGGUAGGAGUACCCAUAUUUUUUUCCAUCCUCUGCCCUCAUUUUGUUUCUCUGUUUAAAAACCUUGCUUUUUGUUUUAGCAGAGGAGUAAAAACAUCUGCUUAAAAAUUAACUUCAAAGCCCUUAGUCAUUGCACAGCUACAAGCACAGAAAUAUUCCCUCUCAAUCUUUUUUAAUCUUGGUUUUAUUUUUAAAUUUAUUUUUUAGUUUGUUACAGCUGAGCACAGAAAGACUGGACUGAUAAGUCCAAGCUUCACCAUGCCUGCCCACAGCCAGCACUGCAAACUUGCCCUGCUGCUGCAGCCUGCCCUGGCACCACUCCAUUCAUGCCCCACUGACCCAUCAGUCUAUCCAUGAUCCAGGAAAGCUGUGAGAUUUCCUCACUAGUUUAUGCCAGCUCCUCAAGUCCCAGAGGGGUCAGACCAUGCUGUGGGUGUGUACAUGAGGACACCAAAAUGAGAGGGGAGCAGAAGAGCCCAUGCAAGUGCAAAGCCUUGUCUUCAGCUGUCCUGGAUAUUUAAGGGGAUAAUUCAACAACAUCUGAAGUUUGCCUUGGUUUAGAGAAGACCCUGAGUCCCAGGAUGCCUCUGUCAAACGUUUUUAACCUUUAACUGGCAAUAUCACAUUGAUACCUUGAUGGGAGCAGGCUUUCUCAGGAGCUGUGUACAUAUCUACUGCCAGCACAGCUUUGCUGGUGGCAUUUUGGAGCUUCUACUUCUGAUCCCAGCCAGACCAAAGUGGUGUAUGGUACUUGUCUACAGUCCUGUUCCAAGCUCGUAUAGGAGGGAAAGCACGAAGUUGAACUACUUAAGCAUAUAUCAGUAUUCUGCUGUUAAUAAAGCCCUGCACUGAGAAGGGGACAGUGAGUUGCUAAGCAGAACUGUGCCUCCUUGGCAGCACAGUGCUGGGCCAGGAACAGCAAACCACCCCUCGUGGUGGAUGGGGAGCUAAGUGUAUGCAGGCGGACUGUGGGGCCUGCGAAGGGCAGCGUCUGCAGCUUGCCUGAAGCCCCAGGUCUCACUGCUUUUGUGAAGCAAAGCAACAAGGUGCUAGAGAAUCAUUUUCCUCCGUCUGCUAAAGAGUUUUGAGGACAUUUUCUGGUUGCCGAUGGGAGCAGGGAAAAAGAGAGGAUCUUGCACUGAAAGGGAGAAAAACACACAUAAUCUGCUUCGCUCUGAGUUUUGUGUUUGGAAAAUGAGGACAUGGAAGAGGUCCAUCUUUGCUGCCAUUUGGAUACAACAGCAAGAAAAAUUAGAAAGACUUUAUGCUUAGCUCCAGGUAUAAGGACCACAUGGAGCUUUCCCCUCAUCUCACUGAAAAUUAUAGGAACAUUGCUGCAGACUCCAGGGCAUCCAGACACAGGAUACAUCCUGGACCCUUCAACAAAGACACCUGGUUCGGCCGUGUGUGGAGUUGGGACAGCAUGAAGCUGACGUGAACUGAACCUGUGGUAAUGACAAAUGCAGAGUGUUGGAAAGCCACCUGUCUGAAAGUUCAUUCCUGAUGUGAACACAGAAAGAAGGAUAAGCUUGAUGAAAAGACUGGCGAGCUGCCUGCGGCAAGACUGCAUUGCUCUGUGGUGCCUGCCAGUUUGCAUGUACAGUGAACUGCACGGCAUUUCUUCCAGGAUUCCUGGUUCUGCCUUCUCCAGCUUAGUGGUCCUGAGAUGGGCCACUUGUAUCUCUGCCACUGGUAUCCAUUACAGACAAACCAUUACCCCAAGAUCUGACAGACCAUGGCCUUGCUCUUAGAGUCACUGGACACCCAAAGAGAAAAAGUGCCAUGCAGAAGCUAUGCAUUGUUCGUAUUUACAGGCACGAUCCUACGCUGCUUCUAUGGGGAUGUGGUCUUCCUCCUGCUCUGGGAAUCUGCAACCUCACAGGUGGAGGUUGUCCAUGUUUCUCAUGAAUUCCUGACUCUCAGGUUCCAGACUUCUGCAGAAGGCUUCUCUGAGUCAUUCUGGAGUCAUCUAUAACCCAUCAUCAAGCAAGUAAAGGAAAUUCUCAUAUUCAGCUAAUAUCAAUCACGGCAUGACAGCAAGCCACAGAGAAGGUUUUUCAGUCAGUAUCGCUGACACUCUACAACAUCUGAAAUACGGCAGCCAGCAAGCAUGUGCUCUGAGUGUGAAAGGGAGAGACCAGCAGCAUAAGUGAGUGCCUUCGGUAUCGGUGCCAUUAAGUAUGGCCAUUUGACAGCAAAAUGCAUGCACACGACUUUAAUUCUGCCUGCGGCUGGUGCAUCCUCAUAAGGGAAGAGAUAAAAGCCUCCAUGAGAGGAGAGGGCUUGAUUUCAAGUGACAGUGGUGACAUUUUCAGCAAUGACCCCCGAGUGUGGCAGAGUCUGCUGUAUGAUACUCCUGCCCCAAAGGCAGGUGCAAUAUCCUCCUCUCUCUGGGAAGAGGUGGGAAUUUGGAUGAGUGGCCAGGGCUGCCCAGCAUUGGGUGGUGAGGCACCGACCCAGCGGAGCCCUGAGCAGUGUCUGGCUCUGCGCAUGGUGCCACUGCCAGCAUGAGUGCCUACAGCUUUCCUGCACUAGCCGUGAGCCAGUUACUUUCUUCCCACAAUUAUAUCUCAUUCCUCGCAAUCAUAUCUUUGUUUAGUUUAGGCUUGAGAAUCUUUUCACUGUGGCCAAAGACAGCCCAAGGAAAGGAAUGAGAUUUCUCUUGCUCCUCCCCAGGAACCCUGUCAGGCUGGCAAGUUUUACAGUUCCAGCAUUUGAAGGACUGUAUGCAUUGUGUCCCCCAGGCUUAUCUCCCAGAGCAUCUGGUGGAGAACAGAAAGAAGAGGGGAAUUAUAUGAGAUCUGUUUGCAUACGUAUCCCUUCCAUCUCUCCUCUUCACAACAAGAGCCAGCCCCAUGUAUUUCUCCUUGCAAUACACACGAGUCCACAGCAGCAUCUUUCCAUGCUGUGCUCACAGGCUGUGCUCCUGCCAAGUGCCACCUGAGCUCCCAGCCCAUGGAGGCCCCCCCAGGCCCUGCAGCAGAAGCCUGCAGCAGUGGGGCACACUGAGGUGCAUCCUGCUGUGAGCCAGCACCAGCAGGAGCAGCAGGGACCAGCCUGUGGAGCCGGCACACCGCUGCACGCAGGUGGGAGCCGGGAGCUCCAGGCAGAGGGAGGCUGUAGUUGUAUCGAGCAGUAUUGAUUCUGGCAGUGACUGGAGCACUUUGGUAUCUGUAUCAGGGUUAUAUUAACAUUAUAAUUUCAUAAAAUGUAACUUCUCUUCAAAUGGUCUUGCAACUGUUUCUCAGGCACUUCAAUCUCUUUGCAAUUUCAACAUUGCAAAGAGAAGAAGAAACAAAGCAAAUUCUGUUGGGAAAGUACAAGGUUCAACAAAUUUAAACCUCUUGCAUUUUCAGGAUUCUUCUGCUAUUUGAAUAGAAAACUGCAUGGUUUUAGACAAAGUGCUCAUCUUCAAUUUUUCAGUCUCCUUUUCCUUCAUUGCUGAGAACCACACAAUGUACUUCCCUGCCUGUUACUAAAAUGCUUCUAAAAAUUUGAAGAAUUAUUUGAAAAAGGGCAUUCCUAUUCCUUAUGCAUAAAACAUGCAUGCAUAUUCAUAUAAAACAUUUAGAAAAAUUUGUACCAGUUAUAAUUAGCAUGUUUUGUGCAUCUAUUUUCUUUGCUAUUAAAUAACAAAUUUGUGGUAACCAUAGUAACUGGAACAUCACAUGAUACUGGUGCUAUUUUGGGGAUAACAUAAGUACCUUUCUUAAAGAAGCAUUCUCACCUCUAAGCUAUGAAUUUUAAUAAUUUUCAUGAUAAAGUAUUUAUUGAGUAGAUUGUAUUCAUCCCUCACUCUAAUGUUGAUUUAACGUGGAAUGCACCACCUUGUAUUGCAGUGCCUAUGACCACUUAGAAGCUGUGAUGAGUCCUCUUGUUUUGCAAAAAGGCGAGCGACUUAAGAAAGGCAAUAGAGAAGCUAUGUGCAUUGAGGGGAAAAGUACAAUAAAAUGAAGGAUUUCUCUUAUUGUUUCUGGAGAAGGAGCUCACGUUGGUCAUGUGCCUCUUCACGCUUGAAUGGAGGAAAGCAGAAGGUGCUUUAAUCCUGGACUGGUAUAGCUCCUACUGGAAUAAGCCAGAGGUGUUGCAUAAGCUGUACUGGACGAUGGGAGAGGUCCUAGGGAAGUUCACUCGGGAAGAGACCAUUUGGGCCACCAAAGGCAGUUCCCUCCUGCUGCAGUCAAGUGUGUUUUUCUACUGAAUAUGUGCCGUACACCACAUCUCAGAGCCUUACAGCUAAUGAGAUAAAGACCAAGAGAUCAAAUGCCACAACAGUAACGAGCCAUUAAAAGAGAUUAGAUGGCAACAAGGUCCGUAUCCACAUGCUAGGGUAGGGAUUCUCUUAAAUGAAAUUUGCUGAAGUGUCAUAUUACAGAUAAGAGCAAAAUGCCUGAAGAAUCCCUGCCAAUGUUGUGAUGAAUUGAAAAAUGGAAAAACAUGGAAGAAAUUCCCUUCAGUCUCUGAAAUUGGUAAUUCAGUUAAUUGUGAGAAUGCAGGUAAGAUGAACCAAACAGGCACCGAUGAGAAAUGAAUACUAUUAAAAAUAUGCUGCCCACACUGAUGUUCUAAUGAAAAAUGCUGGUUGACAUGAUUAAUUGCUUUAUCACGAAAGUGUCUGUAGAGAUGAAACCCACCCUGAGCUGUCAGGAUGGUGUUAUCCAUCUCCCAGAGCAGAGGUAAUGAGGGGUCAUUCACCCUAGGUGGCUCAGGCCGGUGAUUUGGGUUAAUACACACACCAAAGAGGCCAUUAGGCUGGGGAAUUACUUUGCCUGAGUCUGCCUGCCAGGGUGGAGUUUGGAGCAAAGGAAUUUUACCAGAAGGUGAAGAAAGGUGCUGGGGUUGAAGAGUGGAGCCACGAAUUGGAACUGUAAGGAGAUGCAGGAGUACAUACAAAAAAUAGGGCAUUGCAGGGCCUGCCAGGGCUGUGAUGGAACAGGGCCCCAGUGCCCAGGAGAGCAUCUGGGGCUGCAGGGUGGAGCCUCUGGUGUAGCUCACCAAACUGCAGGCUAGCGUGGGGCAAGUUGCAAGUCGUAAAAGUUAAUGAGAAUUUAGGGUUUAUAAGCUCACGUGGGCCAAAUCUUGCAAAUCUGAGCCAGACUGGAGGUAUUAGCCUGUGUAAAGAUUCACAAAGUAAUGCUUUACUUCUGACUCCACUCUGUUCUGCCUGCCUUCAGUUUUUCUCCAUUCAGGUGUAUCAUUGGAAAUUUUUUUUUAAUUUCAUCCUUAAUUACUACUGACUACUGUUUUAUCGAAAGCUUUGUAAAAGAAAGUUUGAGUCUUCUAUAUUUUAAAAAAUAGGGAUUUUUUUUUUCAUUGAUAAUUACAAAUGGUCCACUUCAGCCUUUUGGAAAUUACGGAUUUUGUUUCAAAAAGUGCUACAGCAAACAGAUUGAAAAAGAAAUGAAAGCAAACAUUUAGAUAUCUCAAAAAAUGGAGAGUUUUGAUUACCCUCAACUAACCCUUAAUUGUUUUCUAUCUUAGCUUGUCCCCCAAGAUAAAUAAUGCAAGAUGGAGAGAUAUUUUUUCACCCCUCUCUUGCUAAGUAUCUGGGGACCUGCAGUGCUUUUUUGAGCAGGUUGUGCAGUGUAGUGGCUGUCUCAGAGAAGAGGCUCCCUGCUCCUCUCCAUGCUCAUUCCAUGUGUUGUGUUAUUGACCCUUUGGGACUGGACCUGCUUCGUUCUCUCUCGCUGUAGCUCUUGCUGUGCCAUGCUAUGCUCUGCCCACUGCCUGUCCUCUCCACCAGUGUCUGGGGCAUCUCCUCCCUUUGCCUGUGCUCUGGAUAGGGACUGGUCCUUGGCUUGGCUAGGGAGCUCAGUCUCCCCUCAUUCCAGCAUCUUCCAUUCUUGUUUGCUUCCAAAUGCCUACUUCUUAAGAAAAAGUCUUGGGAAAAGGUCUAACAAGGCAGCAGUGUGGGGUUUCAGCUGAACACAUAUGCUUGCAGGAGCCCUGAGGGGUGAAGCAAAAGUAAACCCAUUAGAGGCAAAAAGGGAAAGUUGCACAAUAUGCUUUUUUUCCUUUUCUUGAUCCAUUCUGUAAAACGGGAACUUCCCAUUCUACUUUCUGUUUGGAGGGGCAGCAACACAAAGAAAAAGAUUUGGAAGAUGCUGGCAAGUGAUAAAAUACAAAGACAUUCUUUUUCUUAUAUAGUAAAUGAAUGGCUUUCUGCCUUGCCUUUUGUUAAAGCUCUUAAUCCAGCUUGUAAAUAGGCACUUUCCCUUUGGACUGACUGUUUAGAUAUGAGACUUAGGGCUGAUCUGAAGUACUAGGAUCAGAAAAUAGGAGAGAUAUAUCAAAGAGAAUGAUACAUAGGCUCACACUACUGAACUUUCUCUUGCAGCACUUCUCGUAUACUGUAUGUAAAUGUUCACAAGUACAAAGUGUGCUUCAUUUUACUGCAGACCUAAGCUAAGACAUGGGCUCUGAGAAGCCUGGCUGUUUGAUCCCCGGGGGGCAGCCCACCUGCCUCAGGGCAAAGCACAGAUUCUCUGCCGUAAAGCAGAACACGAGAGGUAAUUUUGUUGCGUGGCCUGAUUUAGGCUUACAAAAUGCUGGAAGAGCUCUGCAUUUAAGGAUGCUGGAAGUGGAGAUUCAUGCUCUCGGAUCUCAGAAAUGGCAACAGGAAGCCUGACCAAGCAAAAAAGUCAGCAAAACAGGGACUUGGGACCAAGAGAACUCUUAAUCAAAAACCAGAUUAUCUUCAAAGAAAAGCUGUAUUUCACAUUCAUGAAAAAACUUUUUACCCUACUUUUUAAGCUACACAAACUUUUGCAAUGAAGCGAUAGUGUUUCUGGCUGUUUCUUUGGGGCUGUUCCAUGGCUUUCUGUGAGUAAGGCUGUGGCAAGGCAUUGUUCUUCUUGGAUUUGGAAGCCUUCCAAUUCAUAUUCAGCUGCUGUGGAAAAGAUCCUAAAAAUUCGCAGACUUGUCGUGUUUCCAAAGACACUUCUGACCCAGGCAAUGUAUUCUAAAAUCCUUAAUAAUUUUCUGCUUACUGAAAAUCUUCACUGACUGAAUAGGAAUUUUUCCCAAGUCAGAUAUUAAAGUAGAGAAGGGAUUUCUAGUGUGGUUCUUAAAGAUUAACAUAUAUAUAUGUAUAUAAGCACAGUGAGAGUAUAAAUAUCAAACAUGAUGCAUAUAUUUUUUUUCUAAAUUUAGAAUGAAUAAAUUAAUCACUUGCUUUCCAUUUUGCAUUUAGGAACAUUUAGAUGCUGUUUGAUGCUAUUUAUAUUUUCCAGGAAACCUCUUCGUAAGAACAAUUAUUUUAAUAGGUGCUACUAGGACUGUAUUUUGGAUGACACUUAAAGCCAUAUAAAGAGGUAAACCCCCAACCAGCACCACCAAGGGAAUUUGAAAUAGAUGCUCAGACUAGAGAGCUGCAAAAAUAAACUUAUUUUGUUCCAUUUCUUUUAUUAAACUUUUGAAAACUUUGUGGAACUUUGCAGACCAAUAAUUAGACCCAAGGAAAAAAAAAAGUACAUAAACAAAAUCUCUGCUGUGCUGCUUAUAUCUGCUUUAUACAUUAGCAGAAGUAAAGAUCAAUAUUUGUGAAAGUAGUGUCCUGAGCAGAUUUUCUUCCCCAUUGAAAAUACUGUGUGAGUAAAUGGGAAACCUUUAGAAGAGGCAGUGCAGGAUCUGCCCUGUGUCCCCAGUCUGAGGCUGUCAGGACAGAGCUGGUUGCUUGUAACACUGCCAGCUCUUCCACUGAACAGUAUGAACAAUAGACUGACAUCCAUGACCGUGCUCUCUUUUGCUUUAAAAUAGUCUUUAUCCCCAUUGUAUACUCUUCUAAACUGUAUGGGUAAGUUCUUCUGAUCUGCUACUGGCUUUUGUUUUCUUUUCAAUGUAAACCUGUUAUCUGUCAAAACCACAAGUUACAUUAAGAGCAUUUUAAAUGGUUUGCAGUAUUUUGUAUAUAAUAAAUUACAGCUGAAAGCUGUAAAAAGUUUGCUUUGAAUUCUUCCCUAAGAUAUCUUUUUAAAUACCAGUAGAAGGGAAGUUUUAAUUCUGUGCUUUAAGCAGUAUAACCACUUGAAUAUCCCCUGUUUCAAAUACAAAGCCAUAGUAUUUAAAACAUUAAAAUAAAUCCUUUCUUUGACUUCAGGAUCAGUAUGACUGUUAAUAAAAGGUGUGUCCUUCAUUGCCUGUUUUAACAUGACACUGAAAAGCUUUCAUUUCAAUUGAAUUAAAUCUCAACUAAGUUAACUAAUAAACAGGAAUAUCAGGCGAUGGCACGGCACCACCCAAGUUGCUAAUGCAAAAUGAUGAGUGAGCACUGAAAGGUCAGUCCUGGAACUGGGGCCUGCAGAUGCAACCUGAUUUUCAUAUUGAUUGUGUUUUCCAGUGGGCUUCAGGUCAGGUGCUGAGACCUUGGGGCUUGUUCUGUCUGCAGCUGUCUCACUGUUUUCUUUGCUUACCUUGAACAAGUUCUGCAAUAUUUCUGUACUGCUUCUCUAAGGAUAAAAUAGGUCUAAGGUUUAUCAGUGUUGCAAAGGCAUCAAUGUCUCAGAAAAGGUCUUAGGUGUUCCCUAUGAGGAAGAUGUUACGCACAAUAAAAGAUUUACUCUGUGUGUGUAUGUACAUAUAUAUAUAUAUAUAUACACAUAUAUAUAAUCUCAAGAGUUAAUGUUUCUCUGCAGGAUAUUUAUUUUUACCUGUUAUUCAAUCCAUAGU